UCAUUGAGCCAGUUUAAAUGGUGGGGUCAAAUUAUCAAAUUAAACUAGUAACAUAAAAGGUCAGGUGAUCUGUACUGAGUAUCUCUCUUCACCCAGAGGCUAGACCAGACAGACUGAACAGACGCAUGCUAAUCAUUGGCUUUUACUCCAUUGUAGAAAACAUUCUCCAGCCCCAGGCUGACCGUAACGUUCAUGUGAGGUUGGAGACUUUGAGAGACUACUCGGAGAAUCUGGGUGUCGUUCAGCCAAGACUUGACCACUGUGGGAUAAGAACAGCCCAGGUCCCAAAGGCACCAGAAGCACACACAGCCGGGUGCAAGGUGUCUAUUGUAUCUGUAGCAGAAUGUGGUCUUCUUUCAAGAGUUUGUUACGUCUGCUGUGGUCUGCUCUGAACUCAAAGGCGUCAGCCAUUUGCUUGGCAGGCGGGGUAGAUGCUGGAGAACACUGGUUUGCACGUGCCUGCUACAUCCUGUGAGAUCAUAGUUACAGGAACUCAGGGCCGUUUAGAUUCUCUCCAAGCAAAGAGAGAUCGUUUCUGCCUUAGAAUAGGAAGAAGCAAUGGUGACCACAAUCCCCAGGAUCAGAAGACCAUAGAGUCAUGGCAUGUCCUGGAUAAAACUUGGACCUCACACUUCCUCAGAUCCCAUCAGCUUCUUCACCCUGAAACUCCCACAGUGGACCGCCUACCCCCACCCCAAGAAGACCCAGAGAACUGUCACAGUGUUGUGGGCUCCCAUUCCCAUACUACAUGGGUGGCACAGGCCAAUUCUUUUGCUUCUCCUGCAGUGCUUAAUUAUACACAGACUGAAGAGCUAGGGAUCGGAGGAGUAGAGAUACCCAGAAGGCCCAUUUUCAAUAGCUAGGGUCUGAAAAGACGUCCAGGACAUGAUUACCACAUGGCCCUGGUUGUCUGACUCAUAGAGUACACUUUGUGGAAUGUUGACUUAGUAAAGAAAAUUAAAAAAUAAAAAUAAAAACCAUUGGAUUUCUCAGGGAUUGAAGAUUAAACAAAGUAAUAAA
rnacentral:lncRNA from 1 species